CCUACGGGUGGCAGCAGUGGGGAAUAUUGGGCAAUGGACGGAAGUCUGACCCAGCAACGCCGCGUGAAUGAUGAAGGUCUUCGGAUUGUAAAGUUCUUUUCUAAGGGAAGAAGAAAGUGACGGUACCUUACGAAUAAGCCUCGGCUAACUACGUGCCAGCAGCCGCGGUAAUACGUAGGGGGCAAGCGUUAUCCGGAAUGACUGGUCGUAAAGGUCGCGUAGGCGGUUUGACAAGUCAGUAGCGAAACUCCGGGGCUCAACCUCGGCACUACUAGUGAAACUGGCGGACUUGAGUACUGGAGAGGCAUACGGAAUUCCUAGUGUAGCGGUGAAAUGCGUAGAUAUUAGGAGGAACACCAGUGGCGAAGGCGGUAUGCUGGACCGAAACUGACGCUGAGGCGCGAAAGCGUGGGGAGCAAACAGGAUUAGAUACCCGGGUAGUC
rnacentral:rRNA from 1 species